GAUGAACGCUAGCGGCAGGCCUAACACAUGCAAGUCGAGGGGUAGAACACUUCGGUGUUUGAGACCGGCGCACGGGUGCGUAACGCGUAUGCAAUCUACCUUGUACAGGGGAAUAGCCCAGAGAAAUUUGGAUUAAUGGCCCAUAGUAUAUAACUUUCGCAUGAUGGUUAUAUUAAAGUUCCAACGGUCCAAGAUGAGCAUGCGUCCCAUUAGUUAGGUGGUAAGGUAAAGGCUUACCAAGACGAUGAUGGGUAGGGGUCGUGAGAGGGAGAUCCCCCACACUGGUACUGAGACACGGGCCAGACUCCUACGGGAGGCAGCAGUGAGGAAUAUUGGUCAAUGGGCGCAAGCCUGAACCAGCCAUGCCGCGUGCAGGAAGACGGUCCUAUGGAUUGUAAACUGCUUUUAUACAGGAAGAAACAACUCUACGUGUAGAGUCUUGACGGUACUGUAGGAAUAAGGAUCGGCUAACUCCGUGCCAGCAGCCGCGGUAAUAC
rnacentral:rRNA from 1 species